AAAAUCAGGAUCGAAAGUACACCGAUAAUUCCCAUACAGUCAUUUAAUGCUUAAUGCAAUCAAAUCAAAAGUUCGUCGGAGUCGAUCAGUUAUGAGUGAAAGAGGAACUUCCGGCGGAUUGACAAAUACGACGGAUUCCGAAUGCCCGGAUGACAAGGAAGAUUUGGACCCCCGGGUUCAGGAAGAAUUGAACGUUCUAAAUCAGACGAGCGCGGAUAUAAACAAACUUGAAAAUGAACUUGAUGAAGCAAGGGGUAACUACAAGAUUAUUUUCACUGAAGCCUCUGAAAGACUGGCCCAAGCCGCCGAAAAACGGCGGAAGCCAAUUCAGCGUGCGCGAGCGUACUUCGAAUUGAAGGAGGAAGCCAAAAGGGCCCAGGGUGAGUCCCUCAAGGCUGCCCGUCAGUACCAGUCCGCCAUCAGUGUGUAUCGCGCUGCCAAGGAAACCGUGACGUUGGCGGAAGAGCGGCUGCUGCAGAAUGGGGAGGGAAAUCUAUCAGCCGCCUGGCAGGAAAUGAUGAACCACGCCACCAUGCGGGUUAUGGACGCCGAGAAAGAAAAGCGAGAAAGCGAGGAGCGGCACCAACUUGCAACGACCAAAUGUGCAAACUGUGAGAAGAAAUUAAAGCAACUGGAGAAGAAGUUCAGCAAAUCCAUCCAGAAAGCAGGGUAAGAAAAUGCAACAACUAAUCUAUCAAAAUUUUCAAGUACAAUUUGCAAGGGGUUUGUAAUAGUUAGCAAACAAUUCAUUGGAUGAAAAUAAUAUUCCAGAAAUUUUGAGUUGUAUAAUUUUAACUCAUUCGAAAAUUACUCUAACUUCCAGUCCAUAUUUUGAGGUAAAACAACAACUGGACAUAAAACUGCAGCACCAAAAACAGAAUGUGACGGACUUGCAGUCGGCCAUAAAAGACACAAAGGCUAAGUACUCCAACGCUCUGCGAAAUCUCGAGAAGAUCUCGGAAGAAAUUCACCAGAGCAGGAGAGACAAAAUCAUGCUCAUGUUUCCUAGGCAACCGGGAGUCGGGGCCGAGUCCGGAAGUAGCCUCGCCUCCAUGGUUCCGGAUUUUAGUCUCGAGGAAUUAGAGAGUGUUUCUGAAAUCAGCGAUUCAGCCAUAGAAGAUGAUGAACCUGGUGUUAAAGAUGAGGGUAUUUACAUAAACUGUGCUUUCGUCUCAAAUGGUGAUGACAACAAAAACGGAAGCGACACAGAUUCAGAUACAAAAUCCUCGAAAAACCAUGAAACAGAAAAAAUUUCGCAAACUUUUUAUGAAUAUACAGAAAACAGUGAACAAGAAGGAAAUUGUGGGGACAAUUUGUCUCAAAGAAGAACAGACGACAUUGCUGUUAAUUUUGAAGAAAAGUGGGAACUAGGGUUUAAAAGUAAAGUGUCGACAGGAAAUUCAGACGAUUCAACGCCAGAGAGUAAAGAUAUAUCGGUGUUAAGAAAUUCAGACGAAAUGGCACUAGGAAAUUCAGAUAAAUUAGUGCAAAGAUUAAUUAACGAGGAGGUAAACGAGAACUCGAAAGGAUUUUUACCAGAGAAUACUCAGUCUGACGACUCGGUGCUGAACAAUUUUGAUAAUCUGACGGUAAAGAAUAGAGAGGAAUCUGUAAAUAAUAGAGACGAGGAGGCGAAAAGAAAAGAACAUAUAGAAUCUUAAUUAUAGCAAAAUAAAAACAUCAAAUAC
rnacentral:misc_RNA from 1 species